rnacentral:sRNA from 1 species
UAUUCUGCCCUACAGGGAAGGAUGAGAAGCUUCGACUAAGGUUCGACUCGAGCGAAGCGAGAGAACGUUGCCGCAGGCAACGGCCCGAAGGGCGAGGCGCUUUAGCGCCGACUAAUCCUUCCCCCACCACCA